rnacentral:rRNA from 1 species
CGUGCCUAACACAUGCAAGUCGAACGAGAAAGUCCGAGCUUGCUCGGAUGAGUAAAGUGGCGCACGGGUGAGUAACGCGUGGGUAACCUGCCCUUGAAACCGGGAUAACUUCGCGAAAGCGAUGCUAAUACCGGAUAUUGUCUCUGGAACUGUGGAUUUGGAGAUGAAAGGUGACCUCUUCAUGAAAGUUGCCGUUUAAGGAUGGGCUCGCGUACCAUUAGCUAGUUGGUGGGGUAAUGGCCCACCAAGGCGACGAUGGUUAGCUGGUCUGAGAGGAUGAUCAGCCACACUGGAACUGGAACACGGUCCAGACUCCUACGGGAGGCAGCAGUGAGGAAUUUUGCGCAAUGGGGGAAACCCUGACGCAGCAACGCCGCGUGAGUGAAGAAGGCUUUCGGGUCGUAAAGCUCUGUCAAAUGGGAAAAAGGCCUUUGGUUCAAUAGGCUGAAGGAUUGAUGGUACCAUUGGAGGAAGCACCGGCUAACUCCGUGCCAGCAGCCGCGGUAAUACGGAGGGUGCGAGCGUUGUUCAGAAUUAUUGGGCGUAAAGAGCGUGUAGGCGGGUUGGUAAGUCAGAUGUGAAAGCCCCGGGCUCAACCCGGGAAGUGCAUUUGAAACUGCCUUUCUUGAGUAUGGGAGAGGAGAGUGGAAUUCCCAGUGUAGAGGUGAAAUUCGUAGAUAUUGGGAGGAACACCCGUGGCGAAGGCGACUCUCUGGACCAAUACUGACGCUGAGACGCGAAAGCGUGGGGAGCAAACAGGAUUAGAUACCCUGGUAGUCCACGCCGUAAACGAUGAGAACUAGGUGUAGCGGGUAUUGACCCCUGCUGUGCCGGAGCUUAACGCAUUUAAGUUCUCCGCCUGGGGAGUACGGCCGCAA